rnacentral:rRNA from 1 species
CAUUUAUGGAGAGUUUGAUCCUGGCUCAGGACGAACGCUGGCGGCGUGCUUAACACAUGCAAGUCGAACGGUGAAGGGGAGCUUGCUCCC